rnacentral:rRNA from 1 species
CUGGCGGCGUGCUUAACACAUGCAAGUCGAACGCGAAAGGGGACUUCGGUCCUGAGUAAAGUGGCGCACGGGUGAGUAACGCGUAGAUAACCUGUCUUCAUGUCUGGAAUAAUACGCCGAAAGGGGUACUAAUACCGGAUAUUCUUGCUUUUCAUAAGUUAUGCAAGCAAAGGUGGCCUCUGCAUAUGCUACUGCAUGAAGAGGGGUCUGCGUACCAUUAGCUAGUAGGUGGGGUAAUGGCCUACCUAGGCGACGAUGGUUAGCGGGUCUGAGAGGAUGAUCCGCCACACUGGCACUGGAACACGGGCCAGACUCCUACGGGAGGCAGCAGUGAGGAAUAUUGCGCAAUGGGGGAAACCCUGACGCAGCGACGCCGCGUGAGUGAGGAAGGCCUUCGGGUCGUAAAGCUCUGUCAAGAGGAAAGAAGUGUACAAUGGCUAAUACCUGUUGUAUUUGACGGUACCUCUAAAGGAAGCACCGGCUAACUCCGUGCCAGCCGCGGC